rnacentral:rRNA from 1 species
AGCGAACGCUGGCGGCAGGCCUAACACAUGCAAGUCGAACGGAUCCUUCGGGAUUAGUGGCGGACGGGUGAGUAACACGUGGGAACGUGCCCUUUGGUUCGGAACAACUCAGGGAAACUUGAGCUAAUACCGGAUGUGCCCUUCAGGGGAAAGAUUUAUCGCCAUUGGAGCGGCCCGCGUCUGAUUAGCUAGUUGGUGAGGUAAAGGCUCACCAAGGCGACGAUCAGUAGCUGGUCUGAGAGGAUGAUCAGCCACAUUGGGACUGAGACACGGCCCAAACUCCUACGGGAGGCAGCAGUGGGGAAUCUUGCGCAAGGGGCGAAAGCCUGACGUAGCCAUGCCGCGUGAAUGAUGAAGGUCUUAGGAUUGUAAAAUUCUUUCACCGGGGACGAUAAUGACGGUACCCGGAGAAGAAGCCCCGGCUAACUUCGUGCCAGCCGCCGCCGUAACAC